UCGGAAGGUGCGGCUGGAUCACCUCCUUUAGAGACAAGGCUGCAUCGCUUGUCCAGGCGUCCUCAUAAGUAACCUGCACGAUUGGUAAUCAAGCAAGACUGGGUCUGUAGCUCGGGUGGUUAGAGCGCACCCCUGAUAAGGGUGAGGCCGGUGGUUCGAGUCCUCCCAGACCCACCACAUGGGGCCUUAGCUCAGCUGGGAGAGCACCUGCUUUGCAAGCAGGGGGUCGUCGGUUCGAUCCCGACAGGCUCCACCAUUCUUGAUUGAUGUACCGAUCGCUGCGCACACAUACAGAUUUGAAUGUCGCCAGGCACUGUGGCCUGACGACGGUUCUUUGAAAAAUAGGGAAGUAGCGAGCGUCUGAGACAAGUACUCAAACGUGUCGUGAGGCUAAGGCGGGGACCUCAAGUCCCUAGUAAAUUGAGUCGUUAUAUUUCGCGUCGGUGCUUUGUACCCACCGGCCCAGAUAUAGCUCCGAGGCAACUUGGGGUUAUAUGGUCAAGCGAAUAAGCGCACACGGUGGAU
rnacentral:tRNA from 1 species